GUGCUCACUUCGGCAGCACAUAAAGUAAAAUUGGAAUGAUACAGAGAAGAUUACCAUGACCCUUAAAAAAAAAAAUCACCCUUAGGGCUUGUUAAAACACACAUUAGU